rnacentral:rRNA from 1 species
UGGCGAACGGGUGAGUAAUACAUCGGAACGUGCCCAAUCGUGGGGGAUAACGCAGCGAAAGCUGUGCUAAUACCGCAUACGAUCUACGGAUGAAAGCAGGGGAUCGCAAGACCUUGCGCGAAUGGAGCGGCCGAUGGCAGAUUAGGUAGUUGGUGAGGUAAAGGCUCACCAAGCCUUCGAUCUGUAGCUGGUCUGAGAGGACGACCAGCCACACUGGGACUGAGACACGGCCCAGACUCCUACGGGAGGCAGCAGUGGGGAAUUUUGGACAAUGGGCGAAAGCCUGAUCCAGCCAUGCCGCGUGCAGGAUGAAGGCCUUCGGGUUGUAAACUGCUUUUGUACGGAACGAAACGGCCUUUUCUAAUAAAGAGGGCUAAUGACGGUACCGUAAGAAUAAGCACCGGCUAACUACGUGCCAGCAGCCGCGGUAAUACGUAGGGUGCAAGCGUUAAUCGGAAUUACUGGGCGUAAAGCGUGCGCAGGCGGUUAUGUAAGACAGUUGUGAAAUCCCCGGGCUCAACCUGGGAACUGCAUCUGUGACUGCAUAGCUAGAGUACGGUAGAGGGGGAUGGAAUUCCGCGUGUAGCAGUGAAAUGCGUAGAUAUGCGGAGGAACACCGAUGGCGAAGGCAAUCCCCUG